rnacentral:tRNA from 1 species
UAGGGUAUAGCCAAGUUGGUAAGGCAGUGGAUUUUGAUUCCACGAUGCUCAGGUUCGAGUCCUGAUACCCUAGCCA